AUUCCGGCAGCAGCUACACACUGCCCUCAUACCUCUGGAAGCUGCCCACAGCUGAAUAUGUUUCUAAUCCUAAAUUGCAAAUCUUCUUCUGUUUUUUUUUUCCUGCCAUAGAUCUAGUCCCCUGAUCUCAAGCAAAAGACUACAGUACAACUUCGGAAAACUAAAAAAGCAAAACAAAACAAAAAACCUGAAAUUCAGCUGCAGACUCUCAUUUAUUGCUGUUUCCAAGUUCAGUAUCCAGCAUCUCCAGCUGGGAAAGACUCCCUGAAAUACUGAAAACCUGCUGGCAAUCAGCGCAGAGAAUCAUGAACAAGAGAAGACUCUUCAUGCGAUUCCUUGUUGCACUUGUUUCCGCUGUUUCUCACAUAGUGAUGUCAACCUUCAUCAAAGUAGUCAAUCCAUGUUACAGCUAACAAAAUGGACGUGGUCAGUCUUGAGCACAGUGUUUUCAGAGUGGAUGAAAUUUCCAGUCACGUCCAUGGGGUGAAGGGACCCCACCCUCGCCAACAAUUGAAUCAAGGUCAGCCCCAGCUCCGUUCCUGAUUAUAUGCCAUAUUCCAGAGGGUGACCAAUAUAUAUCUCUUUUACUGCUGUGCUUCAACACUAAGAGAAGAAAGAGCCAUGAAUAAUCAGCCUCACCCGAGUAACAUCACGCCAGGGUUGCCGGGAGCGUCAGCACCGAUUUCCCAAGAUUAGAGGCCUGUGAAGGAGCU